AAGACCUUGCGCUUUUGGAGCGGCCGAKGCCUGAUUAGCUUGUUGGUAAGGUAAAAGCUUACCAAGGCUUCGAUCAGUAGCUGGUCUGAGAGGACGGCCAGCCACACUGGGACUGAGACACGGCCCAGACUCCUACGGGAGGCAGCAGUGGGGAAUUUUGGACAAUGGGGGCAACCCUGAUCCAGCCAUGCCGCGUGAGUGAAGAAGGCCUUCGGGUUGUAAAGCUCUUUCAGCCGGAACGAAACGGUUACGGUUAAUACCCGUGACUACUGACGGUACCGGAAGAAGAAGCACCGGCUAACUACGUGCCAGCAGCCGCGGUAAUACGUAGGGUGCAAGCGUUAMUCGGAAUUACUGGGCGUAAAGCGUGCGCAGGUGGUUUUGUAAGUCAGAUGUGAAAUCCCCGGGCUUAACCUGGGAACU
rnacentral:rRNA from 1 species